AGAGUUUGAUCCUGGCUCAGGACGAACGCUGGCGGCGUGCCUAAUACAUGCAAGUAGAACGCUGAAGAGAGGAGCUUGCUCUUCUUGGAUGAGUUGCGAACGGGUGAGUAACGCGUAGGUAACCUGCCUUGUAGCGGGGGAUAACUAUUGGAAACGAUAGCUAAUACCGCAUAACAAUGGAUGACACAUGUCAUUUAUUUGAAAGGGGCAAUUGCUCCACUACAAGAUGGACCUGCGUUGUAUUAGCUAGUAGGUGAGGUAACGGCUCACCUAGGCGACGAUACAUAGCCGACCUGAGAGGGUGAUCGGCCACACUGGGACUGAGACACGGCCCAGACUCCUACGGGAGGCAGCAGUAGGGAAUCUUCGGCAAUGGGGGCAACCCUGACCGAGCAACGCCGCGUGAGUGAAGAAGGUUUUCGGAUCGUAAAGCUCUGUUGUAAGUCAAGAACGAGUGUGAGAGUGGAAAGUUCACACUGUGACGGUAGCUUACCAGAAAGGGACGGC
rnacentral:rRNA from 1 species